rnacentral:rRNA from 1 species
UAAGGAAUAUUGGACAAUGGAGGCAACUCUGAUCCAGCCAUGCCGCGUGAAGGAAUAAGGCCCUAUGGGUUGUAAACUUCUUUUAGACGGGACAAACCCCUUUACGUGUAAAGGGUUGAUGGUACUGUCAGAAUAAGCAUCGGCUAACUUCGUGCCAGCAGCCGCGGUAAUACGAAGGAUGCAAGCGUUAUCCGGAAUUAUUGGGUUUAAAGGGUGCGUAGGCGGACUAAUAAGUCAGUGGUGAAAGCCUGCAGCUUAACUGCAGAAUUGCCAUUGAUACUGUUAGCCUUGAGUACAGUUGAGGUAGGCGGAAUGUGUCAUGUAGCGGUGAAAUGCUUAGAUAUGACACAGAACACCGAUUGCGAAGGCAGCUUGCUAAGCUGUAACUGACGCUGAGGCACGAAAGCGUGGGGAGCAAACA